AUGAAGCACAUUUUCAAGAAGCUUCACAUAGGAAGCAACCACGACCCGAACCGAUCAAACGAAAACCCUAACGUGACGUCCGCCACGGCAUCGACGCCGCCGUCUUGUGCCCCCGAUCAACGGCCGGUUUCUGUGCAGACUUCCGGCGCCGGACCUCCGGCGAGCCCUUCGGCUUCGUCUUCGGCGACUACUUCUCCGGCGAGCAACGCUGCUGGUACCACGCCGUCGCCUGCUGUUGCUGCUGCGGCUGCGGCGGCUAAUAGAGCUGACUAUAUCUCGUCGGAGGAGGAGUUCCAGGUUCAGCUGGCCCUAGCGAUCAGCGCGUCGAAUUCGGAGUUCCGAGACGAUCCGGAGAAGGAUCAGAUCAGAGCCGCGACGCUGCUGAGCUUGGGAGGUCAUCGGAUGGAUUUGGUGAGGGAUAAGGAUGAAGUUUCGGCGGAGACUUUGUCGAGGCAGUAUUGGGUGAGUUGAAAUUCAUUGAAGUUUUGAUCUUAAUUGAAGUGAAUUUCUAAUAAAUGAUCUUGAAUUAGGUGUUUCUACUUGGUGUUUGGUAGCUAAUUUGUUGUAUUGAGUAUCGAAUUGGUAUAAAUUAGGGCUUUUUUUUUCCUGUUCUAUUCAGUCAACAGUUUGAAAUUUAAUUAAACUGCUAUUGAAUUAGAGGGAGCUUAGUUUGUUGAGCUGUGAUUGAGAAUUUCAUGUAGUGAAAUGUACAAUAGGAGCUUGAAUUAGGAGCUUUUGGUAGUUGACAAUUUGUACCGAGUUGUGGAUUGUUGUAUAUUAGGCAAUAACUGUUCAAGUAUGCCAAGUGCCUAAAUUGUUUAAUUUAACUUUAAAUAAAGGGUAGUUUGGUUCAUUGAGAUGUUACUGAGUGUUGGAUAUAGUGAGUUGUGUUGUAUGAGCUUAUUUUAUGGUGGUUCACUUGGUAUUGAUAAGUACAGAUUGUCAAAAUUCUGCCUAAUCUAAAGCUAAACUGGGUAGAAUCUGGUUCAUGCAGUAAGAACAUCAUAAGUGGUCGAGUUUGAUUUUCUUGAACCUUUUCUGAAUUUUGUGGGUUUCUGGAUAUUACCUUGUGCGUUUAGCUUACCAAUAUUUACUUGAGUUUAGGGGGAAAAUGUACUAGCUGUGCACUACGCACCAUUACUUUAGGCAAAGUAUUCUGUAUUCAAGCAGAAAGCUACUGAAGCUCUUCUCUGACUGAAUUGUGCACUUGGAAGUGGUGAUUUUGGUAAAUCAGGAGGUGUUUCCUUUAAAGUUUUGUUAUGCAUCUGUGUCUCACAGUUUACUCAGUUUGAAUUUGAGCUUAGCUUGAUUAUCGUAACUGACUUACUAUGUAGUUGACUUUUAUUUUAUAUAUAUUUUUAUUUUGGGUGAUGUUACAUCAUAACAAGAGAUAAUGUGGUUUUGACCGAAACACACACAGAGGAAAGGAGAGGAAAUGGUUUCAAAACAUCCCACUUUUUAGAUUUUCUUUCCUUAUUCAUAAUGUAAUUUAGGAAGCAAAAGGCAUUUCAGAUGUGUAAAAUCUAUAUUGCAACUGGAGAUUACCCCAUAUUUAUCAUGAUGUUCUUAGAUGUUAGCAUUUAUGUUACUUCUUGAUUAUGUUUUGCUCGCAUAUCAACUGAUUUAAAAAAUUAAAAAAAAUUGUUUUCGUGCUUCUUCUAUUUUGGUUUGAUUUCUGUUGGGUUCUUUGGUUCACCAGGAAUACAAUGUUCUUGACUAUGAAGAUAAAGUGGUGGAUGGUUUUUACGAUAUAUAUGGGCUCUCCACGGAAUCAGCAAACCAAGGAAAGAUGCCAUCUAUCACUGAUCUUGAAACAAACCUUGGUAGUUCUGGCUUUGAAGUUGUAAUGGUUAAUCAAAGAAUUGAUCCUUCCCUGGAAGAGUUACUGCAAAUUGCACACUGUAUUGCUUUAGACUGUCCAGUCACUGAGGUUAGUGUGUUGGCACAGAGGCUUGCUGAACUAGUUACCGGACAUAUGGGUGGGCCUGUGAAGGAUGCUAAUAUUAUGCUGGCACGGUGGAUGGAAAAGAGGACAGAGUUGAGGAUGUCUCUUCAAACAAGCGUGUUGCCUAUUGGGUCCAUCAAUGUUGGCCUUUCUCGACAUCGUGCUUUGCUUUUCAAGGUCAGCUAUCAGACUUACAUUAUUGAUUCUAGUGUUUUUAGGCUGUAUCUUAUUUGACCUGAUUUCUUGUGGCUAUAUCCUGGUUAUUGAAAAACUCAGGCCAAAUUUGGUAUAGGCCCUGCUACAAUAUUUUAGGGAUACUUUCUCCACCUAGAACUUCCAAUCCAUGGUGUUGAUGAACCACACCAAAUUACUUGUAGCAGGGUGGCUUAUUUACUUUGUGCGCUUCCAUGGUGUUAAUGUUAUAGGGUGUGAUUUUCUAAGAUGGAAUUUUAAUUUUGUUUUCAAUUGCAUUUACUGUACCUAUCAUAUUGCUUUUGAAGGUGGGGUGGGGAUGGAAUAGGUUAUAGGAUCAAAACUUAUCAAGAACGAAAUAAAACCCAUGUGGAGUAUGUGUCAUUAGUUUUCUUUGAUAAAAGAAUCUGUAUUUUUUGGAUGAGGGGGUAGAAUAGGGGUACAUCAUAGUUUUAUAACUUUUUAAGUGCAAUUGCACAAAAAGAAAUGAAAAGAAAAAAAGUGAUUGAUUUUGGGAAAUAAAUGCAACAUUGAUGUAGAGAACAUGUUGAUAUGUUUCUUUUCAUUAAAAUUUUAAAAGAAAUACGCCUUUUUCGUGGAAUUGCCUAAACUUUAGGAGAAAUACCUCCUUUAUUGGGAGAUUUUAUAAAUUGUUUCCCAUGUUUCUGUUAUAAAGUUUUAUUGAUUAUGAACUUACAAAGAAGGGCAUGUGAUGCAAUUAUGGUAGAUUAAUUUGCUAUUACUUUGCAAAUUUUCCUAUUGAAGAAUUAUAUUAUGGAGUGCCAAGAGCCUUGUAACUCAACUAGUUGGCACCUCUUGGCAUUUCCAAUGGAGACAUCAAGGUUCAAAUCUCCCCUCCCCCAUUUAUCGAAUUAUCAAAAAGAAUUAUUUUAUGGGGUUCAUGCAUGAAGUCCAAUUGAAGAUAAAGCCGUGUGGUUUUAAUGGUCUAUGUAUGAGUCUUAGGGUUAAAACAGUAUUUUUUUUAAUUUUUUUUUAAUUUUUUUUAUUUGGGUUUUUGUUUUAUUAGUUAUGGUUAGUUUUGUAGUCACAGGUAAAUCUGUAAUUAAUGCAAUUACUGCAAAUUAAGCGUAUUUUGGUAAUUUAGUUGAGUCUAGAGUCACUUAGGAGAUCCUAAGUAUCUUGGGUUUUAUUUUCUUUGGGUCCACCUUAGUCUUUUAUUAGGUUCUUAGUACUAGAAGUCCUAAUACUAGUAGGAGCCCUAAUACUUCUAGUACAUGAAAGAGUCUUUAUAUAUUUGUGCUGAAUGCCUUCAAAGGGAGGCGUUGAUUAAUAAAAUUAUAGAGUGUUUGAGCAUUGAGGCAUGUUGACCUUUGUGUGACUUCUUCUCACUCUCUAACUCUCUCUUUUUUUCUUCUUCAUCUCUUUCUAAUGGUAGCAUUCACGGAAAUUGUUCAAAGAGCACCUAAAACACCAUAAAAUCUCUCUUUUUUUCUUCUUUCUUAAAACCCCAAAUCAAGCUGUUUCUUUUAUCUAUCAAAACCCUAAAUCCCCACAUAUUUUCUUCUAUCAAGUAACUCAUCAAACCACCUUUUAAUUUCUAACACAACCCUUAACUCUUUUUUCAGCAACUCUAAAUCCAAAAUCCACAAAUCUUCUUAGACCUAAAUCCACCAAAACCACAUAUAGACGAAUUGCCCAAAUUGUCCUACGUUAACAUGCCCUUGAGAAUUUUUGUCGUCUUUACAGGGCAAGGGGCACCCCACUUUUAGUGGAAGGGUGAGGUCUUAUACAAGUGGGCCUUCUACCACAGACAUGCACCACCUAAGUGUGAGCGGACUAGGCCAGUCUGUCCAAUACUAACAUUAUUUUUGUUUAUCAAAAAGAAAAACUUUUGAUUUCUUUAUCUAUGAUAAUUAUUCUGCUUGGAGACAAUAGGUAUGCCAAGUUCUAGAUGACGUAACAUCUUUGUGCACCGAACAUCAACACCUGUCUGAACACUUACAUAGGUGCCAACUUUAUUUAAUCUUAAAAAUAACAAUGACUAAGUGACUACUAUUAAUCAGGACAAAUUACAGUUAAGCCAUUUGUGGUAUAGAGUGAAUUUUGUCUGACAAUGUGUGCUUUUAAAUGGGACAGCUUAUCCACCCGAUGUUCAAGCCAUUUAUGUUAGUUAUACUUAGUCUUUAAAUAUUAUUAUGCAGUCUACAAGUGUAAUCACCAUUGUGCAUAAAGUGCUAAUUUUCUAAACUGCAAGCGACUAAAGUAUAAUAUAUUUUUGCACAUGCAUGUUAUGGCAGAAGAGUUUAAUGGACAUUGAGAAGACAAAGCUCAGCUAAGUAAAGUACAACAUUUUAACAACAAGUGAAGUUGAACUCACCUCAUAAAAAUGGAUAGAUACUUCUUCUACUUGACCUAAUGAGAAUCACUCAAUAUAUCCCCAUAUUAUUGUCUUUCCUUUUUUUUUUUUUUGUCCCAAAAACAAUUUCCAUGAGAAGUAAAAAAAGUAAUUUUUUCCUAACUUUCCACACUAUGUCAUUUAUCAUUGAGUAUUAAAUGUGGAGACAAUUAUGAAUUUUCAAAUAAAAAUUACAGUUGAGGACAGAAAUGGAAUACAAAAAUUUAAUCAAUUAGUGUGGCUGCAUUCAAUUUACUUUCCUAAAACAUUGUGCCUUUUCAAAGUGGAAUAAAAUUUUGGGGAAGAGAGUAAUUAUUUAUAAUGUUUUACUUUGUAAAGUUAUUGUACAUGUAGGCACACAUUUUUAAACAUAAAUAAGUAAACAUGCCCCCAUGUCUUGGUUUAGUGAGACUCUGUGGUAUUUAUAUGUCAAACAUGACUCUUGUGUUUGUCCACAUAUGCUCCGUAGGUUUUAUUAGCAAAAAUUUUAGAGAUGUCAAUUGGGUUUUUCAUUCUGUUACAGGAUGUUGUGAUCAAAUUUUACUCGCAUCUAAUUUUGUGAGAUUAGUUUUUUAUGCGUGCUCUGUAUGAACUUAUAUAUAAAAUAAUAAAAGUUGGACCUUAUAUGUUGUACUCACUGUGUGGUGGCUCAAGUUAAGCAUUGCAGUGGCUAAAUGUAAGUGUUACAGGUCAUAUUACGAUGUGCAUUCUCUAUGUGGCACUAUGAAGAUUUUUUUUUCUUUUUUUAAGUUAAAAAUUUAUUACCAAAGUUCUAAAACGUUCAAACUACUAUUUCAAUUUGACAUUACCAAAAUCUUCAAGAAAUUUAAAGAACUUUCAUAAUUUAUUUAAAUUAUUUAAUCGCCUACCAAAGUUUUUAGUUUUGAUAAAAACAUGGCCUUAUACAAUAUGUUCCUGUCAUACAACUUAAUUUAAUUACUUUUUCUUUAAUUUUUUAUUUUGUUCAGUUUUGCAAAAUUUAUGAUUUUUAAUUAACCUGUGUAUUUACUUAUCAAAAAAAAAAAACCUUUGUAUUUCAUGGCAUACUUCUACCUUUUAAAAGAAGUUAAUUUUAGCAAUUAAGAUAAUAAAAACACUUUUUUGUAAUUAUGAUUGAAGAAACAUUUUCUCUAUUUUUUCCCUUCAUCUUUGUAAAAUUCUUUAAUCCAAGUAUAAAUAUACUCAGGUUUAACUAUUGAUCUUUAUGAAGUUCCUCUAAUAUUGUGAGUUAAGGGGGCUACUUGUUAGCUGUAUUCUCAUUAUCAUUGUUUCUCUUAUGUAGGCAUUAGCUGACAAUAUCAAGAUGCCUUGUAAACUAGUAAAAGGUAGUCAUUACACUGGUGUUGAGGAUGAUGCUGUCAACAUAAUAAAGUUGGAAGAUGAAAGGUUAUUUCUUGUGAACUUCUUUCCUUUGUGUAUAAUGAUGUUCAAUACAUACAUACAUACAUACAUACAUACAUACAUACAUAUAUAUAUAUAUCCUACAGUGGAGUUUGGAUUUUUAUCACUGAGACAAUCAGCAGUAGUUUGCACCUGCAUUUGAGUGUUGUUUCAGUGUUUAUUGUUCUAUGUAUUUAUCUCAAGCAUGUUUCAUUGCUUUUGAUUAAAGUCUGAAGUGUUUUCUCAAUCUUUUAACCAACCAAAAAUGUCCUUGAAUUUUUUUAUUAGGAAAUUAUCUUGAAGUAAAAUAAUAUCAAGGCAAUAGCUUUAUAGUAUGCAUUGAUAUUGGAAGGACUUUUCAUAUUGCAAUUUUUUAGUCAUCCCCUUUGGUAGUCAUCCUUCAAAUGCUGAUAUUUGGGAUUCACGAUGGUGAAUGAUCAAGUGGAAGCAAGUGCAAAUUCUUUGCAAAACUAAACUUUGAUCCAAUUCAUUAAUUUUGGCUAAUAUCUUAUGUUCAUCUCUACCUUAAGAUUCUUGUGGAUUUUUUUUAUUUUUUUUAUUUUUUAUAAGUAAGAUUCUUGUGGAUUUCUCUCAACUGUAGAAAUAAAAAAUGUGUAUGUGAGGGACAAUGACAACAAAUAUUUCUCCUCCACCAGUUAAGUAUUUGAUGUCUUAAGUAGCAAAGGCACUGAGGUUCAGGUUAUGUGACUUUGGGAAAUAAUGUCAACCAUUUGAUAUCUUAAGCAGGAAAGCCACUUUGGUUCAGAUUAUGUGACUUUGGGAAAUAUUUCCUAAAAGGGAUGAGUAGUAAGAACUUUCCAGAAUUUGACUUAUUUUUGGUACUCACUAUUUUCUUUCACCGGCUUAUGUUCCUUGGUUAAUCAGAUCUCAGUGGCAUUUUAGAUGUCCCCUUUUUUGCUGACUUUGCCUGAUCUUAUACCUUCUCUGCUCUCUUCCCAUCUAGAAUAUAAGUGUGUACUUAUGUGUUCUAAGUCUUAUGAUUUUUGGUACUCAUUAUGAUUUUGUUUGUGAGAUGUAUUCUUCUGUGUACUAAGUCUUUCCUUUUAUCCUUUAUUAUGAGUAAAGUUCUUAUAUAUAUAUCCUCUUCUAUUUUUUUUUUUUUUUUCCCGGUGAAAGUUAAUAAUUUGUAUCUACUAUACGUUGGAAAUAUAUGUUUUUUAUUUUUUCAAACAAAUAAAAAGGAAAAAAUUUAGAGAUAAACAGUAACUAUAAUUUAUUUUUUGAACGUGUAUUUGAAAGUGGUGUAGUGAUAUAGAGAAAAGUUUGGUUGGGAAAAAUAAGAUGAUCGCGAGGGGAAAGAAUGCUAAAUUUUAAGAGUUCUCUUAGUUUUUUAUUUUAUUUUUAUUUUUUUAAAUUGGGGGUGUUUUACUUUUAUUCGGAUGAACGUGAAUGGAAAAAAAUUCUAAAUUUUAGGAGUUCUCUUUUUGAAUUCAAAAUGAAAUUUGUUAUUUGACAUUUAUAACCCUAUUUCUAAGAGAAGUUACCCUUCAUUAAAGAGGGUACGUUUGAACCACAUAAAAGUCUAGUUCAAAAAGGGAAAUCCUCUUUUAGAUAGUGUGUGUAUAUAGAAUAGGAUUGAACCUAAACCUACAUAACUAAUCCAAUGUUCAUGCAUGUCCCAUGGUUUAUUCUCUCCUAUGUGUGUUAAAGCAAUAUCUCCGUGAUAUGCAUGCAAUUGAGUGUUGAGUGUGUGCGCAUAUUUAAUUUGAUUCAUAAAAGUUGGUUUAACCUUUUUUUGCUUCUACAUAGAUCUAAUUUAUAUUUUUCUGCCUUCAGGGAAUUUUUGGUUGAUCUAAUGGCAGCUCCUGGAACACUUAUACCAGCUGAUAUUCUAAGUGCAAUGGAAAAUACCUUUAAGCCAUACAAUCCAAAAAUAAACAAAAUCUCACCUCUCCAUUUGUCUAAUGACAUUGGAGUUACGUACUUAAGACCAAAGCCUUUACUUGGUGAAGGUAGCAGUCAUAACUCUGCAGUUGAGAGUAGCUCACCCUUGGAUAGAAGGUCAAGUUCUGAAAAUGCAGAAUCCAUUACUUUAUUCCCCAGUACAAGCGGUGACACUACUGUUAGUUCAUCUGGUAUAUCGAAUAAGCCGAGUCCUAAUCAGUCAGAUCUUUCAUCAUCAGGCAUUGGCACCUCUCUGUAUAAAGGCAGUCGUGGUGCCCAUGCAGUUGGUGAUGGUGUGAGGAUAAAUCUCAAUGUAGUUCCAUAUAACCAAAAUAACCCUGAGGAUCCAAAAAAUCUUUUUGCAGAUCUUAAUCCAUUCCAGAUCAAAGGAACUGGCAAAACUUCUUUGCAUAACAAACCUACAGAGAAUAGAGUUGAUGAGCUUCAGAGACCGAUAAAUAACCCUGGUCGACCCCCUGUAUCAUUGAUGUGGAAGAAUCGAUAUGCUCUCAAUGAAGUCCCUCAGAAAAAGGAGUAUGAUUAUAUGGAGGGUCUAUUUCCAAGAAUCAAUCGUGAGCCUAAUGACUAUAAUCUGCCAUCGUUAGCUUCCACCAGUUCUAAUACACCUGGAAAGAUCUAUGGUGAUGGUUUCAAAUCAGCUGGUAAUUCAAAUAUGCCCAGUAUGGUAAGUAAUGCAGCAAAUUCUGUCAGUGGCACCAGUUCAUUGUUGGAAGCUAGCUCAAGUCAGUUUGAUAGGUUUCAUCUGGUGGGGGAUUUGAAUGCUAAUUUAAAGCGAGAACGUCCUAGGAAUGGGGAAGAAUCGCAAAGUAAUGCGGUGGAUUUGGUUCAAGAACUUGAGGACAAUGAAAUUGGUUUUCACGAUCGUAGAAAGUGCAUGCAUGAUCGAUUUAUGGGGAACAAUUUGAAAUUGAAGGAUCCAGAAAGUGCUAGCUCAUCUUUUGACUCCAGCACAAGUAAGGCUGAACAAAUAUACUCCAGCACAAGUAGGGUUGACCAAAUAUUUGAUGAUGUCGAUGUAGGAGAUGAAGUUCGUUGGGAAGACCUGGUUAUUGGUGAAAGGAUUGGACUAGGUAGUGCAUAUGGCUUGUUGGAAGUAUAUUAUAUUUGGCAAAUCUUGGUAGUCAUUUUGCAAUUUUGGAACUUGUUCCAUGUUCUAUAUAAAUACGUAUGUAUGAAUGUAUGUAUAUGUUUCACUAUAAUAUUACUAAUUAUAGUGUAUUGCUAUGGUCUUUGGGCCAAAUGGCAUCUUUGCCCUCAACAAAGCAAGUGAUGAAUGUUGCAGUUUUGGGUUUAGUACCAUAAGAUUGUGUUAGUUGUGUUUAAGCUUUCCAAAGGGAAGAGUUAUAGUAAUAGUGCAUGAAUUAUUUGGAAAGAGUUAUAGUAAUAGUGAAUGAAUUAUGUAUGGAAAAUUAUGUUCCUUUAUAGGAUCUAGUGCUUCUAUCUCUCUCUCUCUCUCUCUCUCUCUCUCUCUUUCUCUCUUCUGGCUAGAAACAGAAUGGUAAAUCCUUCAUAAGAGGUUAUAGUUUCAUCUUAUUUUGGUAGCUUUGUACUAGUGUUAUGCUUAAUAAAUUAAGUAUGAGGAAGAGAGACUCAUUUAUUUCAGUCUUUGCAUAGCAAUAACCCUUGUUUCCUAGGAAGUUCUUUAAUUUUUUAUUCAUUUUUCCUGUUUCUAGGUUCAUAUGGGGAGGUUUAUCAUGCUGAUUGGAAUGGCACGGUGAGUUCUAUGAUUCCUUUUUGUAUUGUCACAUUUUGCUCUUUGCUCUUUUGCUUUGAAUUAAAAGAAUUGCAUCUUGUUGUCCAUUAUCUUUUGCUCUGUAUAAUUCCAUCUUUAAAAUGCCUUGAUGUUUUAACUUACUCAACUUGAAUUUGAAUGCCCAAUUAAUGCCUUGAUUGAUCAAUCCUCUUACUAUUUGACUAUUGAUAAACUUUCACUGGUCCCAGAAGUUUAAACUAUUUGGAAAUAUUGAAAUUAAUUAUUCAACCUAUAUUCUAACACUCUUCCUCACAAGUGGGCCUAAAACUUUAUAAUUGGUGGGGCUCAACAUGUGGAAUUUUGAAAUUUUUUAAUAGGUGGUAAAGUGGAGAUAGGGUUUGAAUUCAAGACCUUUUACUUUGAGACCAUGAUAAAUAUCUGGUAGUUCCAAAAAUUUAAGCUAUUAGGAAAGUUUAAUUAAAUCAUUUACUUACCCAAUAUUCUAACAACUGCAAUAACAAGUGAGUUUACUAAAAAUAAAAGUAAAAUUUAAAAAAAAUUCUCUUCAUUAUUCUCAUCAUCCACAGUAGAAUGUUUGUAUGCAUAGUGAUAGAUUCUGCUAUAGUGAUACAGGAAAAUUUAUGGAUGUCAUGAAUGUUGGCACCAUUAGUUAGUGGUAAACUUAGAUGGCUGUCAUGUAUAGUUGUCAUUGGUGAACUAUAGAAUGAACUCUUUUGUUCUGACUAUCACUGGUGAAUAAUGUAUAAUGUGGAAUCUCUUUCUUUGUUGUUGUCUCAUUAUAAUGCUUUUUUGCCAUUACGUGAGUUUGGUAUUUUUUUUAUUUAAUGUUUUACUUUUGACAUAAAAUAGGAGCUUUUAGACAUUGAAGGGAAACUGAUAAUCUAAUAAUCUUCUGGUAAAUUUUGAACUACAGGAGGUCGCUGUGAAGAAGUUUUUAGACCAGGAUUUCUCAGGUGCAGCUUUGGCCGAGUUCAAAAGUGAAGUAAGCAAUGAAUUAAGCUUCUAUAUAUGCAUGUGAUAUUGCUCUUUUUGAUUCAGGAAAAAGUAAAAUAACCUUACACACUAAAUAAUGUUGUGCAAUAUGAAUACCUAAUCACCCAGAAAACCAAAAAAAAAAAAAUUCAGAAUUCUGGAAACUAAAGCAUUCUUGGUAUCAGUGGUGGUGUUGUCUUGUUGAUGGCUAGUGACUGAGGUGGUUGCAGAAUGGCACUACCAAUGAGGGAGCAGGAUGAUGAGAAGGAUGUGAUGGCACUACCAAUGGUGGUCUUGCAUACACCUUCUGCUUCCUUCUUAGAAUUUGUUACUGAUGAGAUUUCCAGCCCAAGUUCAAUUUAUUAACAUCUUCACCAACCCAAACAAUUCCCAAAACUACAAAACCCAACCUAACCCUUUUCAUAAAAUAUUGGAUUCUCUAGUGAUGGAAUGGAAUGUCAUGACAGGAAUUGUGGGGCAAGUUCAUCUUCUUUUUUUUCUUUUUUUUUUUUCCUUCUGAAAAUUGGACAUUUAAGACAUGACAUCAUAUGACCCACUUGACACAUAGAAAUGAAAAGAUAAUAUCCACGGUUUGGGUUCAUGGCUUAUACUUUCUAAUCAAUCCAAAGCCAUUAACCUGCAUUUUUUUCAUAUGUAAAAUAAGGUACGAAUAAUGCGUAGACUGCGGCAUCCAAAUGUUGUUCUUUUCAUGGGUGCUGUUACUCGUCCUCCAAACCUCUCUAUCAUUUCUGAGUUUCUUCCAAGGUACAACUCUGUGCUCUUUUUGUUGUCAUAUCUUAAUGAGUUUGAGUUUUUUGCAAAACAAAAUUCAUCUGCAAUGAGAUUCUAAUGAUCCUUGCAAUUUUACCUGCAUUGAUUAAUAUGUAUAUGCAUGCAUGAUUAUAUAUGUGCAACUUUCAUUUCAUUAGUAGUGUUACUAAAUUUUGAUUUUUCAGGGGAAGCUUAUAUCGAAUUCUUCAUCGUCCUCAGUGUCAACUUGAUGAGAAGCGCAGAAUAAAAAUGGCUCUUGAUGUGGUAUGAUAUUAUUAACCCUGCAUUCUUUUUAAUCAUCAUUUAUUUCCAUACCCAUAUUUAAAGCUAUUGUCAUCUUUCAGGCUAGGGGCAUGAAUUGCUUACAUGCAAGCACACCCACAAUUGUUCACAGGGAUUUGAAGUCACCGAACCUUUUAGUUGAUAAGAACUGGAAUGUCAAGGUAUAUGAUGAUUUCGUUUCAAUAUUAUGUUAGCAUAGUCAUUCUUCCUUUUAUUGGUUAUUGCUCGUAACUACAUAAUCGUGGUUAUAAUGUCUGGAUAGUUUGGAGUCACAUUUGUGUAUUAGUCACAGAAUUUUGAGUAAACUAUGACUGUUUCUGGUUGUUUGUGGUGUUUAUUGUUUCCUAAAUUGAAUCUUGUGCCAAUGUAAGAAUAGCAUCCUUGUAAUCUUAUGUUUGUUGCUUACUGCCAACUUGCCAAUACCAACUUACAUUGCUCUACCGUCUGAUAUAUCAUCUGGACAGGCAGAUAUGCAUAAUGCUUAUCAAAGUUAGAUUCCUAGUUGCCAACUGGUGGUCUCUGGUACUUGAGGGAAAUGAGUGGCAAUGUAAAUCAAUUUUGUACCAGUUUUGUGUGGCUUAGGUGAACUUGCCCAAGGUUCAAACCUACCUAGUGCACGACCCUUACUCACUAAAGCCUAGUUGAUUUUGGAUCAGGGAGCUUGUUCAACAGGCCAGGAGUGACAUUCUUAUGGCCUAGAUGAACCUUUUCGUCUAGUUACUGGAGACAUAAAAGUGCGUGAAGUGCAUGUCCUGCACCUGGCAUUGGUGUGUGUGUGUGAGAGAGCGUGAGUGUGUGUGUGUAGGAUAUGCAGUCAAAAUACAUGGUUGGAUAUGUAUCUGAUAUUUAGGUAAAAGUGAUAAAGAGGAACAAAUUUCUUGUUUGUCAUUAAGGUUUGAAUGGUAUACAACUACAUUUUUCAAGAUGGCUACUUUUGAGCUAUGACGUGCCCAAAUGUGACAAUCUGAUGACAUGGGAUUUGCCUUAAAUUUUGCCUAAGGUUGCUUAUGUGGUGGGCUGAAAGUAGGGACGUAUUCUAGUUUUAAGAAUUUUAGUGGAUACAUAAGGCCUUAUUAUUUUUAAACUGAUUAGGGGCUGAGUCAUUACAAUUUUUGAAGGCAAAAGGGGGCAGAUUUGAAGAAUACAGGUUUCUUGAUGUUCAUUGAUGUAUAUGUUGUGGGGCUUAAUUGGGCAAUGGCUGUAUUUAUUAUCUUGGGGCUGCUUGGGUGGUGGCUUAAGGUAGGUAAGUAUUUGGGGAUGAGAAGUUAGUUUUUUAAGAAGAAAUACAGUGCAGAGUAUUCUCAUAGUGUGCUGAACAUUAAGAAGGAAAGAAGAAAAAAUAAAAGAGAAAACACACUAGCCAAUGUUGCCUCAGCAUUCAAGCACUAAAUAUUCCUUUAUGAAUCUAUAGAUUCUUUUCAGUACAGUGAAAGAAUAUUUAUGGGCUCUUGGAUGUUAUCUUUUCCUAUAUGACAUUACUAAUUUGAUUACUAUGCUAAAUCAGGGAUUUAAUUAAAGCCUAGGGGGUAAAAAAAGGACUCUUAAAACUCCUAGAGGAUUCUAGACUCAGACAUAACUAAGGAAAUAUAUAUUUUUUUUUUUUAAAAAUGCUUUGUCCACAACAUUUUCACAACACUUUCACAACAAAUCUUAAGUGGUAGGUUGCUAUUGGUUGUUAUGGGUGGGCAAAAAAGUAAUUUAAGUUGUGGAUUCAAUUUAGAACCAAUAACAACUUACCACCUAUAAUUUGUUGUGAAAAUAUUGUAAAAAUAUUAUGGAUGUAGUAGCACUUAUCUAAAAAAACAGUUCAGGACUAUUGUGAAAUUCUAGUUCUCCCCUGCGUGUAUAUACCUAUAAAUCUCAAAUCAAUGACUCAAAACAAAAAUUAUUGAAGCCUCAGAACCCUGUAAGGUAACCUUUGUAGCCAUAAAAAUCUUUGUUCAACCAGGCAUUGCAGGCGGUUUCCACACAUGAAAAAGCUCUACUUGUUAAAACUAGAAUGUAAAAAAGAAAAACAGCAGCUAGAUCUCUUGUUCCUUGUUUCUUUCCUCUGGUACUUGAAUGCUCGCCCACACCUGACACAUUAUGCACUUGAAUCUAUGUAAAAUUGGUCUGCCUAUGGGGUUUUUUCAAUCCAAAAUUUCCUUUGGUUCUGAAUUUUAAAAAUUGUUUUAGCCUGGAAGUCAGGCUGUAGUAUGGCUUGUUUAGAUUGGUGAAGCUUAACAAGCUGGUUGAUGCACUGGGAAAUUAUAUGAUACCCUCCUCACUGAAUUGCUUGAAAGUCAAACUAUUAAAAUAAAAAAAGUGACAAAUGUCAAUGUUUGUGGUGCCACUGGUGUGUGAGCUAAUUCUGACAAACUAUGAUGCUUAUAUGCAGGUGGGUGAUUUUGGGUUAUCACGCUUAAAGCACAACACUUUCUUGUCAUCCAAAUCAACUGCAGGAACGGUGAGAAUCUGAGAUCAAUAAUCAAUAUUUUUUUUUUUUCAGUUGUUUCUGUAGAUGACACAAUUUUCAUCAGCUUACUUGACACUCUUUCUUCACUUAUAUCUGACUGCAUCUUCUUCUAUGUGUUAGCCUGAGUGGAUGGCACCUGAAGUUCUCCGAAAUGAGCCAUCAAAUGAGAAGUGAGUUUCUAUUGUUACAAGUAUAUUUUUAAUUUUCAGCUUUACUUGGUGCAUGUUCACCUGUAUAGCUACACUGCUUGGCUAGUCCAUGCUCCAUCCAUCUAUCAUAGGUACUGGAUAUGCCUGAUGCAGGAUGACAAACUCUAACUUUUGUUUGGGAAACAAAAAAAAGAAGGGGAAAUGGCCUAGGAAUCACCGCCAGGUGAUGAAAAUAGAAUAAUAGAACCUAGGAAUCACCGCCAUUUGCUUGGAAUCACUACCAAGCAUGAGAUAAAGAUAGGAACCCAAGAAUAACCACCUGAGCCUGCUUGGAACCAUGACCAAGUAUUGGAAGAAAAGUAGAAAACUUCCAACCCAAAUUUCAUUAAGCCUCAAUUAUCUUCUUACAAUAGUGAACUUUGGGCCCUUUAAAUCGAGUCUCCAAAUUACAUAAAUUAUGGAAAGAAAGAGAAUCAUAAUGAGAUUAAACAAUGUUAGGAAAUAAAAUCCACGUCUCUAAAUAGCAUCAGUCACUGGUAUUCAGCAUCAAUCACGUUCAAUAAAGUCCAACAAAAUCAAUCAACAUUAAUAGGUCUGAUUUGUUGAGAGCACCAAUGCUCCAGCUGUCUUGUGGUUGGUUUACUAGCUUUGGCAUAUGUUUGUGCUCGAGGUAAGUUUGAGUGAAGUGUGCCUAUUUUGGCUUACUGUUUUAAAGGUCUGGAUAUGGGUUUUGAUGCCUUCUUGGAUUUAUCUUAGUCCUGAAAAGUAUGGCAGAAAGAUACUUGAGACAAUGUUGAAAUUUCUUCUAUAUAAAACCAGUGCAUCACAUUUAUGUUUUCUCAUCAAAGACAUAAGUGCUGGGAGGUCAGAGGGUGUUUAUUAGCAACAUCAGGAACAUGUUUUUUCUGGUCUUGGAAUAUGCCUAAUUUACCCUACUAAUCAUGUCUUCAUGAAACUAAGCAUAUCAUGACUUCCUAUAACUGUGGUCCUCUACUAUCAAAUCUUGUGAUCAUGACAUCCCUUGUGAAAACCCAUGUGUUGCUGGGCUUUGGAUUAAAGAAACAGAGCCCAGGAAUUGGAAAUAUGGCUUUUCUGUUUACAGCCUUGUUGAACCUGUAGAACUCCACUAACAUUAAUUAUAUUAUCCCAUAUGGAUAUUCAGGUGUGAUGUCUAUAGCUUUGGAGUCAUUCUGUGGGAGCUAGCUACCUUGAGAUUACCUUGGAGUGGGAUGAACCCAAUGCAAGUGGUGGGUGCAGUAGGUUUCCAGAAUCGUCGCCUGGACAUCCCCAAGGAAGUGGAUCCUUUGGUUGCUCGGAUAAUUUGGGAAUGUUGGCAAACGUAAGUUUAAGAAAUCUGAACACUAACAUAUAUUCAGCUAUUAUUCCUUUACUAAAUUUCAGAUUAAUUGAUUGCUCUUCUUGUCUGUUAAUUCCCAGCGAUCCAAACUUGCGACCUUCAUUUUCACAGCUCACAGCAGCUCUCAAGCCUUUGCAGCGGCUUGUCAUCCCAUCACAUCUGGACCAGCCAAAUUCGCCUCUGCCACAAGAGAUUUCAGUAAAUUCUACACCUUGAAUUGUCUCAUUUUCUCAAGUGUGAAUAAGGAGACAUUUUACUUCUUUUCCAUGAGAGUAGUAAAUGAAAAUUUAAAAGGAAAAACACAGAAAAGAAAAGGAACAUUUGAUUAGAAGGCUUGUAGAUUUGUAAUUUGUGUUAAAGUUCUGUAUGUAUUUCUGCUGCAGCCAAAAAGACUGCAGCAGCUCUUUUUGUACAGCUUGGUGUACAUCGUUUGUUCCAACAAGAACUGA
rnacentral:sRNA from 1 species